AUCGUCAAACUGCAAUUAAAACAACAUUCUUAAGCUUUGCUUUAUCGAAUUACAUAAUUGCGAAUUAUUUAAAAAGAAAACAGACAUGAUAAAUAAAAUAAUAUGUUACUUUUGUUCCAACCUAAUAAAUAGAUAGAAACUAUUUAGUUGACGCUGUGCGGUUUGGAUGAUUGAGAUAAGGCGAGGAUAUAAUCCAUUAGAAGUUUUUUGCAGAUUGAGGGAGAGAGAAGGAAAGAAACGCAUUUAUAUUGUUGUUUUAAGGCCAGGCCCUCUAAAGACAAAGAAAAAUUGUGCAAAGUAUGUUGAAGAAAAAGAAAGUAUGUAUAUCUUUCCUUUGAGUGUCUAAAAUCUAUGCGCGUAGAAUUUAUAUAGUAGAUGAAGAACAACAUCAUGAAUUAUUGAACAAUUUAUUCUUUAAUAAUCCCGCGAUGUGGAUUUUCACACGGAUUCGAGAAGCAGCUCUAUCGAGGCAUUAUACAAAUUGAAGGAUACGAAACGUUGAAAGCAUGCUGGCGCGACGCAUCGAUACCGUUGAAUCGCGACGCGAUGGGUAUUGCCGAGAGUUUCAUCUAUUCUUCUUUCUCCUUUAGAUAGAAACGUUGCGUCGCAGUGAGAAACCGGUGCAAAACCGCGAGGGAAUGAUGUACAGGAUACAGAAGCUAGCCGGGCGUGCGUUAUUAAUUAAUACAACGGAGGGCAAGUUCGAGAGGUGUGACUUUUUAGCCGAGGGCUCGUACAUACCGGAGAGAAAAAGAGUAUUAGAGGAGAGAAAAAGAAGCACGAAGGGAAGAAAAUUGAGAUAGCAUAUAUAUAUGUAUACACGUAGAGUCACAUAACAGACAGACACACACAGAUAUAUGUAUACACGGAUAUUAUUAUAUAAAUAUAUAUAUAUACAUGUAUAUGUAUGUAUACACAUAUAAAUAUGUGCCGUCUCAUGCAAUGAGACGAAGAGAUACAUGUACACGCGGACACUGCUGUAAAUGGUUGUAGUUAUUUAAAUAACUAUUCUGUAUAUCGCAUAGUAUUUAAUACGAUUAUAAUUAUUUAUUAGAGUCUAAGUAAUUUAUUAUUGCUUUGCAUUCCAAGAGGAUCGGAGACCACGGGACUAUACGAUUAGAUAAGCGAACGUCUUAAUGUUAACGGUGCUUUUCUAACAGAGCCGAUGUCGCAUAAUAUAAUUUACAAUGGGCGAAUUUUCACUUUCGGGUGUAAAAAGAAAAAAAAA